rnacentral:sRNA from 1 species
AUGGAAUCCAUCCAUAACUUGUACUCUUGAAAAAGUAUGGGAUCUGGGGGUGAGGGAUUCUAAAGCCCUCCCCCCAUAAUUCAACAGUUUGCUUGUGCGGGAUCAGCCACCAUCCACUCAGGUAUCAGCUACUAGCCGCAGCGCAUGAUCUCUCUAUCUCUCUAUCUGAGGUUUUGGCUGACGCCAAGCAAACCGGCAAGUCACAGAAAGGCAUGGACUCAGUUAGGGCUCGU